AACACCUCAACUCUCAUGGUUUGCCAUGAUGAGCUUGGACUCUGGGGGUUUUGCUGGCCUGUUGUCAGCUCCUCUGAAAUGAAUCAGCUUGCCAGUGUUUGGUGGCAUCAUGGGUGUGAUAACUAUCUACGCUUGUGGUCGUCCACCAGGUAACCUUCAGUGAUGGGGGUUUGCGCUGGUGCUUAUAAAUGUCUCUCCUCAGCGAAGACAGCUCUUUGAAU
rnacentral:misc_RNA from 1 species